GGGUCAGUAGGUUGGUCGUGCCACCGGUACGUACUGGUCUCACUGAUUCCUCCUUCCCGAAGAACCGUAAUGCCAUUAAUUUGGUGUUGUGGGGAAACAGGACUGUUACUUUGAAAAAAUUAGAGUGUUUAAAGCAAGCUAACGCUUGAAUACAUUAGCAUGGAAUAAUGAAAUAGGACGAUCGAUCCUAUUUUGUUGGUUUCUAGGAUUGACGUA
rnacentral:rRNA from 1 species